rnacentral:rRNA from 1 species
GACGAACGCUGGCGGCGUGCUUAACACAUGCAAGUCGAACGGAAAGGCCCUGCUUUUGUGGGGUGCUCGAGUUGCGAACGGGUGAGUAACACGUGAGUAACCUACCCUUGACUUUGGGAUAACUUCAUGAAACUUGGUCUAAUACCGGCUAGGAGCUCCUGCUGCAUGGUGGGGGUUGGAUAGUUUCGGCGGUUGGGGAUGGACUCGCGGCUUAUCAGCUUGUUGGUGGGGUAGUGGCUUACCAAGGCUUUGACGGGUAGCCGGCCUGGGAGGGUGACCGGCCACAUUGGGACUGAGAUACGGCACAGACUCGUACGGGAGGCAGCAGUGGGGAAGAGUGCACAAGGGGCGGAAGCAUGAUGCAGCAACGCAGCGUGCGGGAUGACGGCAUUGGGGUUGUGAACCGCUGUCGCCUGUGACGAAGCGUGAGUGACGGUAAUGGGUAAAGAAGCACCGGCUAACUACGUG